UAAAUACUUCAAAGAGGAAAAUGCCAAGAGGCUUACAAUACAGACUUAGUCGCUGGGGUAGCUUGAGGUUUCCAUCAGAUCCCAGGGGGCCACAGACUGAGAUAAACCAGAGCUGGACAUACACAAUGGAUACCAAUGGUUGCACAACAACUGAUUCUUCAACGCCAUGCCAGAGCUGUUCUGGGAUUACAAAGUUUAGGACAGUCUCUUCCAACACCAGCUGCCAGCAAGGUGGCCAUGAAGUCAACAGCUGCCAGUCAAGUAGACAUGUUCUGAAAACUCCCCGGACACGAGCCUGUCAAGCUGCCCCUUGUUUCUUGUUCACACCCGUCUGCUUCAUAAGAAAUAUCUGCCCCUCUCUGGAUGAUAGCACCUGGUGUGGUGAAGGCAUCAACAGUCAUGAGAAAGAGAGCAUGCAAAUCUUGAACAACCGCCUUGCUACCUACCUAGACAAGGUGCGAAUGCUGGAACAAGAGAACGCCCAACUGGAGUGUAAAAUCCAAGAGGAGUGUAAAAAAGAGGUUCCUUUCAUCUGUCCUAAUUAUUUGUCCUACUAUGCUACCAUUGAAGAGCUCCAGCAAAAGAUCUUGUGUACCAAGGCUGAAAAUUCCAGACUGGUCUCACAAAUUGACAACACCAAACUGACUGCUGAUGACUUGAGAGCCAAGUGUGAAGCUGAGGUGUCCCUGCGCCAGCUAGGAGAAGCAGACGCCAACAGCCUAAAGCAGACCCUGAAUGCUCUGAGCCUGGGCAAGGCUGAUCUGGAGGCACAGGCCCAGUCUCUGAAAGAGGAGCUCCUUUUUCUCAAAAACAACCAUGAAAAGGAAAUCAUCUCCUUACAGAACCAGCUUGGGCACAGACUUAACAUUGAAGUGACUGCUGCCCCUUCUGUGGACCUGAACCAGAUUCUACAAGAAAUGAGAUGCCAGUAUGAGUCUGUCAUGGAGACAAAUCUCAAAGAUGUGGAACAGUGGUUCAACACACAGAUGGAGGAGCUGAAGCAGCAGGUGGUAACCAACUCGCAGCAGCAGCAGUGCUGCCAAAAGGAGAUCAUUGAACUAAGAUGCACAAAGAAUGCUCUGGAGAUUGAACUACAGGCUCAGCAUCAAAAGAGAGAUUCCCAGGAACGCAAUCUGGAAGAGACAGAGGCACACUAUACAGUGCUUCUGACCCAGAUUCAGUGCCUGAUUGACAGCCUGGAGACCCAGCUAGCAGAAAUUCGAUGUGCUCUGGAAAGGCAGAACCAAGAGUAUAAGAUUCUGCUGGACAUCAAGUCAAAGUUGGAGUGUGAGAUUGCCACAUACAACAGCCUUCUGGAGAGCUCCGGCUACAAACUACCCUUUAACAAGUGUUCCACCAAAUGUGAGUCUUCCGCGUGUACAUCUAGGAAGGCCAGAGUCAUGGAAUGCACAGAUCCCAUUUGCAGACCAUCAUCAGCCUCUCUGGGCCUGCAUGAGCCCUGUGCUUGUGAAGCUCUGUCCCAGUUACUGGUUAAAAUCUGCACCAUCACUGAGGAGAUUGAGGAUGGGAAAGUCAUCUCUUCUCAUGAGCAUGUGCAGCCUUGCUUCAUCAUCAGAUCUGCCAAAGUCUAACAUCCCAAGGUGAUGAAAAUGACCCUCAUGCAUGAAAGAGAUACUUGCUCCUGCCAGAAAGGUUUAAGAACUCCCCAGUGCCUUAAGGGAAUGGGAGUUGGUUAUAGUUGACAGUAGACACACAGCUGGGACUCUCAAGACACAACCCUGCUUCUCUACAUCUUCCUGUGAUGGCUGCCAAUGACAGAAUAAUUUAGAAUCUUGCUUCUGGCUAUCCAUCAGUGAAAAAUGAACUUAAUAGCCAAAAUCUUUAUUGAAAAAAAUAAUCAUGAAUGCUUGCUGCUUGCAAGCAUGACACCACCACAAUGUGAGGAGAUCAACCAUUUAGUAGCUUCUUACAGUAGGUAAUAUCACAAAGUGUUGAUGUCAUUCCCUAUAAAACAAAAUCACUGGAAAUUUUCAGGUUUUAGUAAAUGAGACACAAUGAAGAGUCAAAAGUCCUAAAGUCUUAAACGUGCCACUUCCUUAGCAUGACUCUGGGCAAGACAUUUAGCUUUCAUCAAAUUUAAUUUCCUCAUUUGUUAAGUGAGUGAGGAUCUUACCUAUUUCACGUGUUGUUAUGACAAUCAAAUGAAAUUGUCAAUGUAAUGUUUUGUGGGCUACAAAGCACUAUAUCAAUGUUAAUUUUAUAUAAGCUGUGCUUUUAGGUACAGUCCUAGCCCUCACUGUAUCAUUAUGAUCACAUGUUAACAUUCUUUCUUCAUGAAUGUACUUAAUGCAGUCAUGAUUUGAGACUUCAAUAGUGUUUAGCUUUCAGGGUGCAGGGGAGAGAAGCUAGAACAAUACUUUCUUUGACCAAGCCCACAGUUCUUAGUAAAUUCUUAGUUCUUAGUGAAUUCUUUAAGUAUGCAUCAGCUAGCAGGAUAACUAGUGUCCACAUCAAAGACAUAAGGAUUGUUUAACUCACACUUCAACCAUCCACUUCCUCCAUAUAAGUUGUAACUUACAUAUAACAAGUAGAAUGUAGAGCUGCA